rnacentral:misc_RNA from 1 species
ACCACGCUGCUCCCGCCGCCGUAGCCUACCAUGCUGCUCCAGUUACCAAAGUUAUUGCUCAGCCUGAAGAAAUCGCUUACCCCAAAUACGAGUACUCUUACUCUGUAGCCGACGGACACAGCGGUGACAACAAGCAACAGCAAGAGAUCCGCGACGGUGAUGUCGUAAAGGGCUCCUACUCUUUCCACGAGGCCGACGGCUCCAUCAGAACUGUGGAGUACUCCGCUGACGACCACAACGGUUUCAACGCCGUAGUUCACAACACAGCACCCAAAGUAGCUCCCGCUAUCAUCAAGGCCGCCCCCGUCGUAGUCAAGUCUCCAGUCUACGCCGCCCCUGCUCUCCAGUACUACCACCACUAAGUCACUGCUUGAUGUAGAUUUACCAAAUUAAUAUACUAUUUAUUUAACGCAAUAAACGAAUAAGUUUAGAAAAAUGUUAUCGCUUUAUUUAUAUAAAAAUGUAUUAACAUCAUUUUUAAAAAAUAAUUUAUUUAUGA